rnacentral:ncRNA from 1 species
UGCCGUCGGCGAAUCGGCGUCGGCGAAGGGCCAAUCGGGGUCAGAAGA